rnacentral:rRNA from 1 species
UACGGGGGGGGUAAGCGUUGUUCGGAAUUACUGGGCGUAAAGGGCUCGUAGGCGGCCAACUAAGUCGGACGUGAAAUCCCUCAGCUUAACUGGGGAACUGCGUCCGAUACUGGAUGGCUUGGAUUUGGGAGAGGGAUGCGGAAUUCCAGGUGUAGCGGUGAAAUGCGUAGAUAUCUGGAGGAACACCGGUGGGGAAGGCGGCAUCCUGGACCAAUAUUGACGCUGAGGAGCGAAAGCCAGGGGAGCAAACGGG